UACGAACCGUGCGAACGUUAUUCGGAAUCACUGGGCUUAAAGCGCGUGUAGGCGGGAGGGCACGUCCGUUGCUGAAAUCCCCCGGCUCAACCGGGGAAGUGGCGCCGAUACGACCUUCCUGGAGGAACGUAGGGGGACCUGGAACUUCCGGUGGAGCGGUGAAAUGCGUUGAGAUCGGAAGGAACGCCCGUGGCGAAAGCGAGGUCCUGGACGUUUUCUGACGCUGAGACGCGAAAGCCAGGGGAGCAAACGGG
rnacentral:rRNA from 1 species